GGAGGGGCGGGCCCAGCUCCGGGAGGGAUCCAGCUCCUGGCUACCUCCCGGCGGGCGCGAACGCCGGGCCGCCGAGGCGGGAUCCGCUGCCGGACGCAGGGCCCUGACGCGGGCUGGGAGCAGAGCCUCGGCAGCCUGUGUGCCGCGGAGGGUGGAGAAAAGCCGCCUGUUGGAGAAUUCACACCGAAGUGUGAGUGACUGAUAGCCCCAUGGCCUAGGGGUGUCUGCGACUCUUAUUCUGGGGAACAGAGGACUUUCGGCCCCUGCCCCGCCCUGCUGGCUCGCUCCACCCACCCUGAGCCUGUUGGGCACCCCCUCUGGUCCCUCAGCCACUUGAAGCCCCAACCCCAGAUCUGCUCUGCUGACCUGUCCCGGCUGGUCCCUGUCCCGGGGGCUCCUAACCUGCUGUUUUAUCUCAACCGUCAUCAUCCAUUUCCAGCUUCAUGGCGGCCGAGGAGAUGCACUGGCCUGUCCCCAUGAAGGCCAUUGGUGCCCAGAACUUGCUAACCAUGCCUGGGGGUGUGGCCAAGGCUGGCUACCUGCACAAGAAAGGUGGUACCCAACUGCAGCUGCUCAGAUGGCCCCUGCGCUUUGUCAUCAUCCACAAGCGAUGCAUCUACUACUUCAAGAGCAGCACGUCUGCCUCCCCGCAGGGCGCCUUCUCCCUGAGUGGCUACAACCGGGUGAUGCGGGCGGCGGAGGAGACGACGUCCAGCAACGUCUUUCCCUUCAAGAUCGUCCACAUCAGCAAGAAGCACCGCACGUGGUUCUUCUCGGCCUCCUCCGAGGAGGAGCGCAAGAGCUGGAUGGCCAUGCUGCGCAGGGAGAUCGGCCACUUCCACGAGAAGAAGGAGCUGCCACUGGAUGCCAGCGACUCCAGCUCCGACACAGACAGCUUCUACGGUGCGAUCGAGCGGCCCGUGGACAUCAGCCUCUCUCCACACCCCACGGACACGGAAGACUACGAGCACGACGACGAGGACGACUCGUACCUGGAGCCCGACUCCCCCGAGCCCGUGCAGCCUGAGGAUGCCCUGAUCCACCCGCCGGCCUACCCCCCGCCUCCUGUGCCCACACCCAGGAAGCCAGUUUUCUCCGAUGUGCCCCGUGCCCACUCCUUCACCUCCAAGGGUCCGAGCCCUCUGCUGCCACCCCCACCCCCUAAGCGCGGUCUCCCAGAUGCUUGCCCGCCCCCUGAGGACUCCAAGAGGGACCUGCUGGGCCUGAGGCGGGCCGAGCCUGGCCCUAGGGUGCCCCCUGCCUCCCGGAGGAUGAGUGACCCCCCGCCAGGCGCUCUGCCCAUCAUGCCCGGCCUACGGAAAACACCUUGCUUCCACGAGAAUGCCAGCCUCAGCCCGGAGCCCCGGAUCCCCAGCCACGGGGCCAGCCCUGCUUCCAGCUCUGCCAGCACAGUUUCCGCCGCUUCCAGGAACUGUGACAAGCUCAAGUCCUUCCACCUGUCCCCUCGGGGGCCACCCACGCCCGAGCCCCCUCCCGUGCCGGCCAACAAGCCCAAGUUCCUGAAGGUGGUUGAAGAGGUCCCCCUCAGGGAGGCAGCCAAGCCUGGACUUUAUGUACCCCCGGUGGCCCCCAGGCCUCCUGUGCUGAAGCUGCCCACGCCCGAGACCACAGCCCGGCCCACGAUCCUGCCCAAGCCAGAGAAGCCACACCUCCCCCACCUCCAGCGCUCACCCCCCGAUGGGCAGAGUUUCAGGAGCUUCUCCUUUGAAAAGCCCCGGCAGCCCUUGCCGGCCGACAGCUCCCUGGCGGACGCCGGCAGGGAGGACUCUGACGAGGACUAUGAGAAGGUGCCGCUGCCCAGCUCGGUCUUUAUCAACACCACGGAGUCCUGCGAGGUGGAAAGGUCAGCGCGAGGCUCCUUCUCCGAGGCCUUGUUUUGCAGACACGAGGUUCCCUGCCUGCCCCCCUCCCUAACCUGUCCUGCUGUUCCCCGCUUUUCUGUCCCCCUUGCGAGCCUUGGUGCCGGGCAGUUGCUGGCACAAGAACACGGCCGAGAGACCUGGCAAAAGAGCAGAUCCCACCAGCUCCGUGCCUGCUGGCCGUCACCCUGGCUCUGCUCCGGCUGGCCCACGUGGCACCCAGUGCUCUUGGUGCCAGGGCAGCAGUACCGGGAGGACAGAGCCCCUGGGGGAGUGGGGCUGUGGGAGAUGGGUCACCUGUUGUCACAACUGUCUUACUGCAGGCUGUUCAAAGCCACGAGCCCCCGGGGGGAGCCCCAGGAUGGACUCUACUGCAUCCGGAACUCCUCCACCAAGUCAGGGAAGGUAGGCAGCCAGGGACGGUGCCCUGGUGGUCACCCUGUCUGCAAAGACCCCCCCACCUCCGACCCCAGGACAGCUGCAUUGGGGUGGGGUCUUCUGGCUCUCCACAUACCCAAGCUGACAGGCGGGUACAGGACUCUACAGUUUGUUUGUAGGAUACUUCCCUAUACAGCCUCUUACUUGGCAUUUCAGCUCAGUUCCAUCCUCGAGGUCUCUGCCUGGCAGCCCCCCUCUCCAUCUGUCUUUGGGGACUAAACACCAACUGCAGUGGUGCCCCCCUCCCCAGCGUGGGCACGAGGCAGGAAGGAAGGGUGGGGGGGCCCAGGAUUCUGUGGGGGUGGGCUUCCUGUUCUUGCACUUUGAAGGGGAGGCUGCUUGGGGGCAGUGGGAAUGCUGGGGGUCUGCUGGCCCUGCCUGUGCCCCUCCAAGGGCGAAUCGUGUAACCUCACUGAGCCUCAGUUUCCCCACGUGGGUCAGAGAUGCUCUUUGUGUGGGCCAGCACUUGCCACUGUCUUUCGAGUCUCGUCAGACUGUCCAAGGGUGGGAAGCCCCGUGGUCAGGGGCCGCCUGUCUCCACCUGGCUGUCCGCGUGCAGAGUGACCCUUCGCUAGGGACCCAGGCUCAGUGCUCUGUCUGCCCCUCGCCCUCGGAGGGCCACGUCUUCCCCAAGGUGAGCCGCUCUCAGUGAGCCCACCCUGCCCGCCUCUCCCUGCAGGUUCUGGUCGUGUGGGACGAAACCUCCAGCAAAGUGAGGAACUACCGCAUCUUUGAGAAGGACUCGAAGUUCUACCUGGAGGGCGAGGUCCUGUUUGUGAGUGUGGGCAGCCUGGUGGAACACUACCACACCCACGUGCUGCCCGGCCACCAGAGCCUGCUGCUGCGCCACCCCUACGGCUACGCCAGGCCCAGGUGACACCGCCCCACCGGCUCCCGGCCACACAGGAGGAGACUGGCUUGCACGGGAGGAUGAGCAGGAGCCAGCAUGGUGCUUUGGCGUGGGGUCUCCCCGACGGACACUGCAGGGAAACUGCCAGGCCGGGCUCCACCCAGCAGGCUGGGUCCCCGGGGCCAGGCCAGACCCUGGGCUCCAGAGAAUUGAGUGGGGCUCUCUGAUCUCACCCCGCCCACCUUGCAGGAGCCCAGGAGCCCAGGACUGAGUCCAGCCAGGACGUCCCGGACAGGAAUUCUGGCACAGCCACCCUGCACUGGGCUGGGAGCUGGGCAGGGCUGGGACAUUUGGGGUGGGGACAGGGGCUGGCCCCAGGUUCCCCCAGGAACGCUACAAUGCAGGCUCCAGAGGGGCCCUUGCUGCACAAUAAAGCACAGAUGACCUUUG